CGACGUAGCCAAAGGGUAAGGCAUCUGCGUCUCACGCAGCGAUUUCCGGGUUCGAAUCCCGGCGUCUCAG
rnacentral:tRNA from 1 species